GUCCAGAUGAUGAGUCCGAAAUAGGACGAAAUGUGCAUCAUGGAC
rnacentral:hammerhead_ribozyme from 1 species